UACGUAGGCAGCAAACGUUGUUCGGAGUUACUGGGCGUAAAGAGUACGUAGGUGGUUUGCCAAGUUUGGUGUGAAAUCUCCUGGCUUAACUGGGAGGGUGCGCCGAAUACUGGCGGGCUUGAGUAUUGGAGAGGAAAGCGGAAUUCCUGGUGUAGCGGUGAAAUGCGUAGAUAUCAGGAGGAACACCGGUGGUGUAGACGGCUUUCUGGACAAUCACUGACGCUGAGGUACGAAAGCGUGGGUAGCAAACAGG
rnacentral:rRNA from 1 species